rnacentral:rRNA from 1 species
GACGAACGCUGGCGGCGUGCUUAACACAUGCAAGUCGAACGGGCCCGCCCCUGUUUUUGGGGGUGGGUUGAGUGGCGACCGGGUGAGUAUCACGUGAGUAACCUGCCCCCUGCUCCUGGAUAACUGCUUGAAAGGGCGGCUAAUACGGGGUGUGCCGGCUGGUCCGCAUGGGCCUGGUCGGGAUAGUUUCAUCUUCGGGUGUUUCGGUGGGGGAUGGGCUCGCGGCCUAUCAGCUUGUUGGUGGGGUGAUGGCCCACCAAGGCGGUGACGGGUAGCCGGCCUGAGAGGGUGGGCGGCCACACUGGGACUGAGACACGGCCCAGACUCCUGCGGGAGGCAGCAGUGGGGGGUAUUGCGCAAUGGGCGGAAGCCUGAUGCAGCGACGUCGCGUGAGGGAUGGAGGCCUUCGGGUUGUGAACCUCUUUCUCCGGUGGUGAAGGCCCUGUCCGUUGCGGCGGGGUUGACGGUAGCCGGGUAUGAAGCGCCGGCUAACUACGUG